CAGUCGCCGCGGUAAUACGAAGGGUGCAAGCGUUAAUCGGAAUUACUGGGCGUAAAGCGCGCGUAGGUGGUUUGGUAAGAUGGAUGUGAAAUCCCCGGGCUCAACCUGGGAACUGCAUCCAUAACUGCCUGACUAGAGUACGGUAGAGGGUGGUGGAAUUUCCUGUGUAGCGGUGAAAUGCGUAGAUAUAGGAAGGAACACCAGUGGCGAAGGCGACCACCUGGACUGAUACUGACACUGAGGAGCGAAAGCGUGGGGAGCAAACAGGAUUAGAUACCCCUGUAGUCCCUGUCUCUUAUAC
rnacentral:rRNA from 1 species